AGUGAACGCUGGCGGCAGGCCUAAUACAUGCAAGUCGAACGGCAGCACAGUGGAGCUUGCUCCAUGGGUGGCGAGUGGCGGACGGGUGAGGAAUACAUGGGAAUCUGCCCAGUCGUGGGGGAUAACGUAUGGAAACGUACGCUAAUACCGCAUGCGCCCUUCGGGGGAAAGUCGGGGACCGCAAGGCCUGACGCGAUUGGAUGAGCCCAUGUUCGAUUAGCUAGUUGGCGGGGUAAUGGCCCACCAAGGCGACGAUCGAUAGCUGGUCUGAGAGGAUGAUCAGCCACACUGGAACUGAGACACGGGUCCAGACUCCUACGGGGAGGCAGCAGUAGGGAAUAUUGGACAAUGGCGCAAGCCUGAUCCAGCCAUGCCGCGUGAGUGAAGA
rnacentral:rRNA from 1 species